UUGAAACGGACCCCCAAGUCGGUCGAGACUAACCGCCUAAAUUUAAGCAUAUUUACUUA
rnacentral:rRNA from 1 species